rnacentral:SRP_RNA from 1 species
ACCUGGCACAGUGGCAUGUAUGUGCCUGUAGUCCCAGCUACUUGGGAGGCUGAGGCUGGAGGAUCUCUUGAGUCCAGGAGUUCUGCGCUGUAGUGCGCUAUGCCGAUCGGAUGUCUGCACUAAGUUCAGCAUCAAUAUGGUGACCUCCCAGGAGCAGGGGACCGCCAGGUUGCCUAAGGCGGGGUGAACUGGCCCAGGUCAGAAACGGAGCAGGUCAAAACUCCCGUGCUGAUUAGUAGUGGGAUCACGCCUGUGAAUAGCCACUGUACUCCAGCCUGGGCAACAUGGCGAGACUCCAUCUUUU